CGGCCGCGGUACCCUAACCGCGCGAAGGUAGCAUAAUCAUUUGUUCUUUAAAUGAGGACUUGUAUCAACGGCACCACGAGGGUUUUACUGUCUCCUUUCCCUAAUCAGUGAAACUAAUCUCCCCGUGAAGAAGCGGGGAUAAACCUAUAAGACGAGAAGACCCCAUGGAGCUUUAGACGAAGCUACAAUCCAAUUUUAUACACCUAUUUAUUAAGCAGGAUUUAUGUAAGCUCAGUUUUAGGUUGGGGUGACCGCGGAGUAUAAAUUAACCUCCACGAUAGACGAAACUUUUCUUAUCUAAGAGUUACAUCUCUAAGAAUUAGUAUACUAAUAUUUAAUGAUCCGAUAAUCGAUCAACGGACCAAGUUACCCUGGGGAUAACAGCGCAAUCCAUUUUAAGAGCCCUUAUCGACAAAUGGGUUUACGACCUCGAUGUUGGAUCAGGAUAUCCUAGUGGUGCAGCAGCUACUGAAGGUUCGUUUGUUCAACGAUUAAAAUCCU
rnacentral:rRNA from 1 species